AGACAUCGACCCGGACCUCCUUCGAGGCGAGCCUUUCGACAUAGGUCGCCGGUGAAGGCAGGGACCUG
rnacentral:sRNA from 1 species